UGAUGAACAGCGCCGGCUGUUUAUCAGUAAAAGUGUGAAUCGACAAUUCUUAGGCCGUAGAUGGAAUUGUUGAUUGACACUUUUUUUAU
rnacentral:ncRNA from 1 species